CAAUAGCGUAUAUUAAAGUUGUUGCAGUUAAAAAGCUCGUAGUUGGAUUUCUGGUGGGAGCGAUCGGUCUGGCGCUUAGCGCGAGUACUUGCAUCGUCUCCGGCCAUCCUUGGGGAGAGUCUGUCUGGCAUUAAGUUGUCGGGCAGAGGAUCCUCAUCGUUUACUGUGAAAAAAUUAGAGUGUUCAAAGCAGGCUUAUGCCGUUGAAUAUAUUAGCAUGGAAUAAUAAGAUAGGACUUUGGUACUAUUUUGUUGGUUUGCGCACCAAAGUAAUGAUUAAUAGGGACAGUUGGGGGUAUUCGUAUUCCGUUGUCAGAGGUGAAAUUCUUGGAUUUACGGAAGACGAACUACUGCGAAAGCAUUUACCAAGGAUGUUUUCACUAA
rnacentral:rRNA from 1 species